GUUGAACGCUGGCGGCGUGCCUUAUACAUGCAAGUCGAGCGAACGGACGAGAAUCGUGCUUCUCUGAUGUUAGCGGCGGACGGGUGAGUAACACGUGGAUAACCUACCUAGAAGACUGGGAUAACUUCGGGAAACCUGAUCUAAUACCGGAUGAUAUUGUGAACCGCAUGGUUCAAAAGGGAAAGACGUUCUUGCUGUCACGUAUAGAUGGAUCCGCGCUGCAUUAGCUAGUUGGUAAGGUAACGGCCUACCAAGGCAAAGAUGCAUAGCCGACCUGAGAGGGUGAACGGCCCACAUGGAAAUGAGAACAGGUCCAGAACCCUAAGGGAGGCAGCAGUAGGGAAUCUUCCGAAAUGGGCGAAAGCCUGAAGGCGCACAGCCCGGUGAGUGAUAAAGGGCUUCGGAUCGGAAAACCCUGUUAUUAGGGAAGAAAAUAUGUGUAAGUAACUGUGCACAUCUUGGAGGUACCUAAAAAGAAAAGCACGGCUAAAUACCUG
rnacentral:rRNA from 1 species